rnacentral:rRNA from 1 species
GACGGAGGAUGCAAGCGUUAUCCGGAAUGAUUGGGCGUAAAGCGUCCGCAGGUGGCAGUUCAAGUCUGCUGUCAAAGACCGGGGCUUAACUUCGGAAAGGCAGUGGAAACUGAACAGCUAGAGUAUGGUAGGGGCGGAGGGAAUUCCUGGUGUAGCGGUGAAAUGCGUAGAGAUCAGGAAGAACAUCGGUGGCGAAGGCGCUCUGCUGGACCAUAACUGACACUCGGGGACGAAAGCUAGGGGAGCGAAUGGG